AAACCAACAGGGAUUGCCCUAGUAACGGCGAGUGAAGCGGCAACAGCUCAAAUUUGAAAUCUGGCUUCGGCCCGAGUUGUAAUUUGUAGAGGAAGAUUUAGGCGCGGCACCUUCUGAGUCCCCUGGAACGGGGCGCCAUAGAGGGUGAGAGCCCCGUAUAGUUGGAUGCCUAGCCUGUGUAAAUCUCCUUCGACGAGUCGAGUAGUUUGGGAAUGCUGCUCAAAAUGGGAGGUAAAUUUCUUCUAAAGCUAAAUAUUGGCCAGAGACCGAUAGCGCACAAGUAGAGUGAUCGAAAGAUGAAAAGCACUUUGAAAAGAGGGUUAAAUAGCACGUGAAAUUGUUGAAAGGGAAGCGCUUGUGACCAGACUUGCGCCGGGCGGAUCAUCCGGUGUUCUCACCGGUGCACUCCGCCCGGCUCAGGCCAGCAUCGGUUCUCGUGGGGGGAUAAAGGCCCUGGGAACGUAGCUCCUCCGGGAGUGUUAUAGCCCAGGGUGUAAUGCCCUCGCGGGGACCGAGGUUCGCGCAUCUGCAAGGAUGCUGGCGUAAUGGUCAUCAGCGACCCGUCUUGAAACACGGACCAAGGAGUCAAGGUUUUGCGCGAGUGUUUGGGUGUAAAACCCGCACGCGUAAUGAAAGUGAACGUAGGUGAGAGCUUCGGCGCAUCAUCGACCGAUCCUGAUGUAUUCGGAUGGAUUUGAGUAGGAGCGUUAAGCCUUGGACCCGAAAGAUGGUGAACUAUGCUUGGAUAGGGUGAAGCCAGAGGAAACUCUGGUGGAGGCUCGCAGCGGUUCUGACGUGCAAAUCGAUCGUCAAAUCUGAGCAUGGGGGCGAAAGAC
rnacentral:rRNA from 1 species